rnacentral:rRNA from 1 species
AACGAACGCUGGCGGCAUGCCUAACACAUGCAAGUCGAACGAGACCUUCGGGUCUAGUGGCGCACGGGUGCGUAACGCGUGGGAACCUGCCCUUAGGUUCGGAAUAACUCCCCGAAAGGGGUGCUAAUACCGGAUAAUGUCUUCGGACCAAAGAUUUAUCGCCUUUGGAUGGGCCCGCGUUGGAUUAGCUAGUUGGUAGGGUAAAAGCCUACCAAGGCGACGAUCCAUAGCUGGUCUGAGAGGAUGAUCAGCCACACUGGGACUGAGACACGGCCCAGACUCCUACGGGAGGCAGCAGUGGGGAAUAUUGGACAAUGGGCGAAAGCCUGAUACAGCAAUGCCGCGUGAGUGAUGAAGGCCUUAGGGUUGUAAAGCUCUUUUAACCGGGAUGAUAAUGACAGUACCGGGAGAAUAAGCUCCGGCUAACUCCGUG